UGUCUCACGUGAAUCAGCAGCCAUGUCCGGCCUCGCCUGUGUUUCCAAACAGAAGGCAUCUGAACCAGACUCACCUCUGGAGGUGACAGACCAGGGGCUCCAAGACCCCAGUGUCUUGAGGUCUGGUCUCCGGGAUCUCAGUGGGCCCUCCAGAGAUGUUGUGGAGUAUUCAUCAGAGAAGACUGCUGAGACAUGGGUCUGAGCCAAUAGAAAGCUGUCUGUUUGGGAUCCCAGUGCAGCCAGGAGCCUUCCUCAGUGUGAGCUUUCAAUUUUGGCAGGUGGUGCUGUCCAUGUGCUGAGUUUAUGGCCUGACUAGCACUUCCAUCAUGGAGUCAGCUGUGCUAAGAAGGUCUGGGGCCCUGAUACACUGUGUCGGCCAGGCUGCUCAAAUCCACGGAGAUCCAGCUGCUUCUGCCUCCUGAG